rnacentral:lncRNA from 1 species
CACUGAUAGUUCCAGCGCUGAACUUCACACAUUUUCAAUGUUUCUGAAGUACGCUCGCUGGAGGUGAAAAACAAGUCUAAACCAAGACUUAAACUUAGAUAAAGUAAUUGUCAGUAAUUUAAGUUCCAGCUGUCGAACAGGUGGGAUUUAAUUUGCAAAGCCAUACACUGUAAGCCAUCACUGUAUGUGUGUGUUGUUUUGUUUGUUUUCAACAGGAUGGAUUAUCGGUGGGGAGUGGAGCAGUGGCCAGGCUGGGGGAGCUUGUGGUUCCUGUAAGCAAUGGAGUGAUGAUGAAGCUGGUUUAAAUUUGAACAGUGGGGUGCUGAAGCUGGUGGGGUGAUGGUGAGGCUAUCAUGGCAUGAAGGAAGCCUGCUGUCCAAGAGCCUACCCUCUCUCUCCAGCAUAUCCAUGGCAUUUGGAUCCAUAAAGGAGCCACUGGUCCUAGUUCGGAACAGCUCCUCAAUUUGCCGGACUAAAUCGAAGGCCUCUUGUGACGGCCGACAAAGUACACCUGGCUUGAACUCUUUCAGCUUCAGUAAAACACUGUGAUUUCCUUCAGGACUGUCAUCAUUGUGCUUAAUUGCACUUUGGCAACCCUCACAAAUCUUGGAAUAUUUAAUCACUUAAUUGAUAUUCACUUGUUGUGCAUGUACAGUACAGGUCAAAAGUUUGGAAACAUUACUAUUUUUAAUGUUUUUGAAAGAAGUCUCUUCUGCUCAUCAAGCCUGCAUUUAUUUGAUCAAAAAUACAGAAAAAACAGUAAUAUUGUGAAAUAUUAUUACAACUUAAAAUAAUAGUUUUCUAUUUGAAUAUACUUUAAAAAAAAAAAAUUAAUUCCUGUGAUGCAAAGACUGAAUUUUCUAGCAUCAUUACUCCAGCCUUCAGUGUCACAUGUAACAUCCAGUCUAUCACAUGAUCAUUUAGAAAUCAUUCUAAUAUUCUGAUUUAUUAUGAGUGUUGGAAACAGUUCUGCUGUCUAAUAUAUUUGAUGAAUAAAAGGUUAAAAAGAACUGCAUUU